rnacentral:rRNA from 1 species
AGUGAACGCUGGCGGUAGGCCUAACACAUGCAAGUCGAACGGCAGCACAGGAGAGCUUGCUCUCUGGGUGGCGAGUGGCGGACGGGUGAGGAAUACAUCGGAAUCUGCCCAGUCGUGGGGGAUAACGUAGGGAAACUUACGCUAAUACCGCAUACGACCUUCGGGUGAAAGAGGGGGAUCGCUAGACCUCUCGCGAUUGGAUGAGCCGAUGUCGGAUUAGCUAGUUGGCGGGGUAAUGGCCCACCAAGGCGACGAUCCGUAGCUGGUCUGAGAGGAUGAUCAGCCACACUGGAACUGAGACACGGUCCAGACUCCUACGGGAGGCAGCAGUCGGGAAUAUUGGACAAUGGGCGCAAGCCUGAUCCAGCCAUACCGCGUGGGUGAAGAAGGCCUUCGGGUUGUAAAGCCCUUUUGUUGGGAAAGAAAUCUUUCAGGCUAAUACCCUGGGAGGAUGACGGUACCCAAAGAAUAAGCACCGGCUAACUUCGUG